rnacentral:rRNA from 1 species
UACGGGGGGAGCAAGCGUUGUUCGGAUUCACUGGGCGUAAAGGGUGCGUAGGUGGUGGGGUAAGUCGGAUGUGAAAUCUCCGGGCUCAACCCGGAAAUGGCAUUGGAAACUACCUUGCUGGAGGAUUUGAGGGGGGAUUGGAAUACUUGGUGUAGCAGUGAAAUGCGUAGAUAUCAAGUGGAACACCAGUGGCGAAGGCGAAUCCCUGGAAAAUACCUGACACUGAGGCACGAAAGCUAGGGGAGCAAACAGG